CUCGGACCGUAGCCAGCGAGAUAAGUCAAUCGUAUUUUCUUCCGAUGCGCGCGAGUCAAUGCGCCAAGUCGACGUCUCCUCGACAACUCGUUCAAGUUCAUUGAUUCAAGUAUACGACUAAGUUUGCUCGUUCGAUAGGUAACCAAGGAUGUCGCACGCAAGUGUUAAAAAAUUGAAUUCCUCGGUGUAUCGUAGUACACAUCUGCGACAACGGCCAGUCGUCAGUUGAGCAUGGAAAAGUAUCGCCAACGAGCAGUCACGGGGUCACAUCGCUGUGUAAUAUGCGAGUAAUGUGUACAGCUAUUUAAUUGCUAGUAUAACGAAAUCAAAUUCGUUGGGUAAAGGAGAAGCCGAACAAUUCAUAAUCAGACGUUGAUGACGUUAAUUUUGAAUGGGUGGACCCUCGUAAAGCAAAAAGCUUUUUAACAUUUUCGUUUUACAAACAACCAGUAAAUCAUGAUGAACUGAUAAUUUCGCAGUGCACAAUCGAAUCAAACUCUUCGAAUCUUAUAUUUGUCAGAACUCAUUUGAACUCCGGAUUAUACUCAAGAGACAUAUAAUGACGUACAUUUUAGUAGCUAACUCUUUGAGAGUGGGAUUUGUCGCAAAUCAUUGUAUCCAGAAUAAACUAAUGACAGCUCAUAAUCGAAGCAAACCCUAGAAGCUUAAUAAUUACGAGAGAAAAUUCUCAAGAAAUUAAAAUCUCAAAAUCCACUUGCAUAAGGCACAUAACAAUGUCACACAUACACAUGUGAAACGUACGAAUCAUAUUUCGCAACUAAGGUUCAUCUCAAAAACCAAAUCAAUGAGGUGCAAAAAAGAAAUUUCAAAACUCACUCUGACGUGUUGCACGAUGGUAUUACGUAUGCAUUCGAUGAAUUCAGAAAAAAUUUCUCAAGUAAGAUUGGUCCCAAAAAAAUACAUGAAUAUGGUACAAAACAGUGUCGCUUUAUAUGCUAGGUACACAAGAAAAAACUCGGACAAAAAGGAGUCUCAAAUCCCAUAUCAAUAUCAUGCAUCGUUCACGCUUUAUGCCCUAAUCCUCUUUUAUAUAAAUGUAUAAAAUGUGUAUAUUCAAUAUUUAUAUAAAAAUGGCGAUCUACAAAUUA